CUACGGGACGCUCCAGUGAGGAAUAUUGGUCAAUGGGCGCAAGCCUGAACCAGCCAAGUCGCGUGCAGGAAGACUGCCCUAUGGGUUGUAAACUGCUUUUGUAUGGGAGUAAAGUGCUCUACGUGUAGAGUUUUGCAAGUAUCAUACGAAUAAGGAUCGGCUAACUCCGUGCCAGCAGCCGCGGUAAUACGGAGGAUCCAAGCGUUAUCCGGAUUUAUUGGGUUUAAAGGGUGCGUAGGCGGGAUAUUAAGUCAGUGGUGAAAGUUUGCAGCUCAACUGUAAAAUUGCCAUUGAAACUGAUAUUCUUGAGUACAAAUGAGGUAGGCGGAAUGUGUUGUGUAGCGGUGAAAUGCAUAGAUAUACCACAGAACACCGAUUGCGAAGGCAGCUUACUGGGAUGUAACUGACGCUGAGGCACGAAAGCGUGGGGAUCAAACAGGAUUAGAUACCCGCGUAGUC
rnacentral:rRNA from 1 species